UACGUAGGGAGCAAGCGUUGUCCGGAAUCAUUGGGCGUAAAGCGCGCGUAGGCGGCCCUGUAAGUCCGUUGUGAAAGUCAAAGGCUCAACCUUUGAAAGCCGAUGGAUACUGCAGGGCUAGAGUCCGGAAGAGGCGAGUGGAAUUCCUGGUGUAGCGGUGGAAUGCGCAGAUAUCAGGAGGAACACCAACGGCGAAGGCAGCUCGCUGGGACGGUACUGACACUGAGGCGCGAAAGCGUGGGGAGCGAACAGG
rnacentral:rRNA from 1 species